AGUGGCCAGUGCAGAAGGGAGGGGAAAAAAGUGGGUGCAAAGUUAGGGACAGUUCCCUACAAUGAGGCCAUUCCUCUCAGUUCCCACAAUGCAAAGAGCUGUUCAUACCUUAGUCACACAAGGAAAGAGAGACCUCAGGAAAAAGGAGACUGUAGCUAGAGCAAGCUGAGAUGAACUGCUUCCCAGAAUGUAAGGAGACAAGAGUUAGCGCUGGCCUGAACCUUCUCCUUGGGCUGUCUCCUAAGCCCUGUUAACUUCUUAUGCAAACAAAGUGAUGACACUAACUCUCUUCACAGGAAAGCCCUCAGUGAGGAUUAGCUGAGUAAUGAGGGCAAAUUGGAAGGGUGAGAGAAAUGCUCAAGGAUACUGCUGAUGGAUCUCUCCCAGGAGGAGGCUCUCCUCAAGGCUCUUUCAUCUGGGUCCCCCUGGCAUCUUACCUAUCAGUCUCCCGCUGACCCCUUGCUUUAGAGGGCUUUGGAGCCUUAAUCUUAAUGAUGGCCCCAUUCUCCCGCUAACAACCCUUAAACCCAAGACUCAUUGUGUCCUUUUAUGGGACACUGAGGCAGAAAAUUUGGCCAAGUUAUCAAUGAUAAGUACUCAUUUCUAAAUCUUUUCAAAAAUACUCCUUCCCGAUUAUGGAGUAUUCAAACUUUCAGGAAAAUAAUCUAAUUUAAUAUGUACUCAGAGUGCUAAGGAAGGCGUCUUUCAGUGCAUAAACAUUUCUUUUCCUUCAUUCACGUGACUAUGUGGAUUUCAAAAAAAGAAAAAAAAAUUAAUCGCUUUGGAA
rnacentral:lncRNA from 1 species